rnacentral:rRNA from 2 species
UACGAAGGGGGCUAGCGUUGCUCGGAAUUACUGGGCGUAAAGCGCACGUAGGCGGGUUGUUAAGUCGGGGGUGAAAUCCUGGAGCUCAACUCCAGAACUGCCUUCGAAACUGACGAUCUUGAGUUCGGGAGAGGUGAGUGGAACUGCGAGUGUAGAGGUGAAAUUCGUAGAUAUUCGCAAGAACACCAGUGGCGAAGGCGGCUCACUGGCCCGAUACUGACGCUGAGGUGCGAAAGCGUGGGGAGCAAACAGG